CGGGGUGAGUAACGCGUGGAUAACCUGCCUCACACUGGGGGAUAACAGUUAGAAGUGACUGCUAAUACCGCAUAAGCGCACAGUACCGCAUGGUACAGUGUGAAAAACUCCGGUGGUGUGAGAUGGAUCCGCGUCUGAUUAGCCAGUUGGCGGGGUAACGGCCCACCAAAGCGACGAUCAGUAGCCGACCUGAGAGGGUGACCGGCCACAUUGGGACUGAGACACGGCCCAA
rnacentral:rRNA from 1 species